rnacentral:rRNA from 1 species
CAGCCGUAAACUAUGCGCGUUAGGUGUAUCGGUGACCACGAGUUACCGAGGUGCCGAAGGGAAACCGUGAAACGUGCCGCCUGGGAAGUACGGUCGCAAGGCUGAAACUUAAAGGAAUCGGCGGGGGAGCACCACAACAGGUGGAGCCUGCGGUUUAAUUGGACUCAACGCCGGGCAACUCACCGGGAACGACAGCAAUAUGUAGGCCAGGCUGAAGACCUUGCCUGAAUCGCUGAGAGGAGGUGCAUGGCGUAGACGUCU